GGCUCGGUGGCCAAGUGGUAAGGCGUCGGUCUCGUACUUGUAACCCAGAAAACCGAAGAUCGCGGGUUCGAAUCCCGUCCGGGCCU